AAGUCGUAACAAGGUUUCCGUAGGUGAACCUGCGGAAGGAUCAUUAACACGUUCCAAAACGUAUCAACCAACCGGUUAAGUGCAAACUUACUCCCUGAUUGGGGAAAGCAGUGCAACUCUCUUUAGUGAUGGGUGGGUCUUCGGAUCCGCAAAGAGAGCGGCACUAGGGUCUCGAGCCCAAUGCUUCCCCUUUUGGGCUUUUCCCCCCUUUUUUCCAUCACUUCCAACCACCAUUUUCACCCCUCGAUCCAUUAUGACUAAAUCUUUCGAACGAAGAAAUUUGUUUGGAAUUGUAUAUCUAACACUGUACAACUCUUAGCAAUGGAUAUCUUGGUUCUC
rnacentral:misc_RNA from 1 species